rnacentral:rRNA from 1 species
GAUGAACGCUGGCGGCGUGCUUAACACAUGCAAGUCGAACGGACCGAGAGGAGCUUGCUCCUCGAAGUUAGUGGCGGACGGGUGAGUAACGCGUGGGUAACCUGCCCUAUGCAGGGGGAUAACGUUCGGAAACGAACGCUAAUACCGCAUAACCUAAUUGGUUCGCAUGAACCGAUUAGCAAAGAUUUUAUCGGCAUAGGAUGGACCCGCGUUAGAUUAGCUAGUUGGUGAGAUAACAGCCCACCAAGGCUUCGAUCUAUAGCCGGCCUGAGAGGGUGAACGGCCACACUGGGACUGAGACACGGCCCAGACUCCUACGGGAGGCAGCAGUGGGGAAUAUUGCACAAUGGGCGCAAGCCUGAUGCAGCGACGCCGCGUGAAGGAUGAAGGUUUUCGGAUCGUAAACUUCUAUCAGCAGGGAAGAAACCAAUGACGGUACCUGACUAAGAAGCCCCGGCUAACUACGUGCCAGCCGCCGCCGUAAAAC